UACAGAGGUCUCAAGCGUUGUUCGGAUUCAUUGGGCGUAAAGAGCGUGUAGGCGGCCCGAUAAGUCCGCUGUGAAAGUCCAGGGCUCAACCCUGGAAUGCCGGUGGAUACUGUCGGGCUCGAAUCCGGAAGAGGUGAGUGGAAUUCCUGGUGUAGCGGUGAAAUGCGCAGAUAUCAGGAGGAACACCCGUGGCGAAAGCGGCUCUCUGGGCG
rnacentral:rRNA from 1 species